CAGGUCUAUCACAUUUUUUUCCUCCAAAAUUGUCUAUAAAAUUUUUAACUGCUCAAAAAUUUUCAAUUGCAAAAUAUUUUUUAUUCAUCAAAAAAUCUAAAGUUUUAUAUAUAAAAUUAUAAACGUGGGGAGAAAUGGGAUGGAUGUAAACUGAUGGGGGACUGUGUAUGUAAAUGUAGGACAGAAUUUUGCUAAUUUGGCUGAUGUGGCACCAUCUUAUUGGAUGUCUAGCAAAUCCAUGGUGUAGCUGUGAAAAUUUUGGUCUCAACCACAAAUCAGAUGGUGGUUGUUAACAUGAUCCUCAUAUAUAAUUAGAAUUUCUAGAUAAUAUAUAUAUAUAUAUAACAAAUGAUAUGAAUUUUUGUGAUAUUUUAAAAAAUGUCACUACAAUAUUAUUUUUGUCAGAAAUUUCGUAUAAACAUUCCAUUCCAUAUGAUUAUUGUUUUUGUAUAAAUACACAUUAAUUUUAUUAUAAUAUAUAUGGCAGAAUGGUGCCAACCGUUCAGUUGUGCCAUGGCAAAUCAUAUCACUUGAUCUUAUUGAUUAAUUAAAUACUUCAAGAAAUGUCUAGGAUUGACAAUGACAGUCUUAGGGUUAUGGGUUCAAACACUUAGCAACUAACAACUCCAAAGUAUGAGCCAAAAUAAGCAUGUUAGGCAUUUUAGCCAAUCACAAUACAUUUUGAGUCCUCCAAUGGGCUGGUUCGUUGGCUAUAUAUGAAGAGCAUUGAGCCACUCUGCAAAUUGUAUUGAAACCCUUUGCCCAUGAAAUCGUUUCCCACAAAGUCUAAACUCCAUCAUUUCACAUCUUUGCAGCUCUCUUCCUCAUUCAGGAUAGCAGGAGACCAAGCUGCAUUUUGGGGUUGUGGAUUCUUUGGAGCCCAAGACACCCUUCAUGAUGAUAGGGGUUGCCAUUACUUCAAAGAUUGCUAUAUCCAAGGUUCAAUUGACUUAUCUUUGGCAAUGCUAGGUCCUUGUAUGAGAGUUGCUAGCUGAGUUCGAUUGUGAACCCAGUGGCACUAGGGGCAAAGGUGAUAAACGGAGUGGUAAGCGCGCAUGGCGGAGCUUCAAAGGAUGAAAACAGUGGAUUUGCAUUUGUGAAAUGCAGUGUGGGAGGGUCUUUGCUUACACACAAAUGACUGAUAUCAUUGCUCCUGAGGGAUGGAACGAUUUCAAUGACCCCACCAGAGGCCAGACCGUUUUCUAUGGAGAGUACAUGUGCGGAGGUGCAGGAGCUAAUAUGACUUUGAGGGUGCCAUAUGCCCAAAGACUGAAUGAUAUGCGUCUUUCAUUGAUGCAGAUCAAUGGUUACAACCAUAACAAUACACACAUACACACAUAUAUGUAUAUAUAUAUUCUCUAAUUCUAUCCAAUGUAAUUAAUAUGCUAGCUAAGGUGACGUUUGAUAAUGUAAUUCAACACUUACAAUUGAAUAUAUAAAGUAAAAUUCAUUAAGCUCCUGAUAAUUGCAAUUGCUAUCAAUAAAAAAUUUAAGUAGCACUUAAAAUGUGGCAUUCUAUGAAAAAU